AAAAUAUAUAUUUUUGUUUACCUAGUAGACAUUAUUAUUUAACAUUAUUGAAUGGRCAUCCUUAUUGAGACAAAAAUAAUCAUGCAUUAUGUGAAAGGUCUACUACACUACUCCAACUGCGCGUCACACGAGUUUCACGUGUCAAAAAGUUUUUCUCAAAACAGUCAUGCUCAGUUUUCCGAUUUCCUCCCGCAACCCCGCCGUGCACGGCAUAUAACUUGAUGCUGUGUCAUGAAAUACACUACUAGCUUCAAGCUUGUGUCUAAGAAAGUUAAGUGAGAGGAGUUACCGAAUUUCGGCUUUUU